rnacentral:ribozyme from 11 species
AAAAUGAAGUGGAAAAAAAACAAAUUUACUUUGCGGUUUUAUUUGUUAUGUUUGUUUUCUGUUUUGCUUCUCCUCAUA